AAGUCGUAACAAGGUUUCCGUAGGUGAACCUGCGGAAGGAUCAUUAAUGAAUUCUUUUAUUCAUUCAUGUAUGUGAACCCUGGGACAAGGCCUCUGGCCGAAGCCCGCUCCAGCUGAUGGACCUGUGAGCCAUCAGCCUUUAGUUAACCAACCUUUAUUAUCUAUGCGCACUGAGACUGAAGCACUUUGUGAUGAGUGUAAAAGCUUAACAUGAAGACAACUUUUAGCAACGGAUCUCUAGGCUCUC
rnacentral:misc_RNA from 1 species